AUAAUUAUAUUUAAAUUAUUAGAAUUAUUUUAUCUAUGUAUUUGUUUAUUUAUUUAUGCCGUUCACUCGUCAUAUAAAGACGUCAGCCCUUCUUUAUCAAUAUUUAUUAAUAUAUAUAAAAAUAUUAACAAUGUGUCAAAAAGUCGUUUUCCCAAUAAACAAGUGUUUCUCAAAUAACACAUUGAAGCCCAUGUAUUCUCUCGGUUAUGAAACCCAAACGAUAAGCGUCCUCAAAAUACGAUCUAUUUAACGUUAGGGCCUUUCGAUUCUUUACCGUUCACCGUGGAGGCUGCGCGCGCACAGCUGCGCGGGCACGUCUUCAGUGAUGGAUGAAGACCAGCGGCAGCCAUAUUGGUUGUAGUCCACAAUUAUUGGGAUGAAAUAUUAAGACCAUGUAAAUAAGAACUGCAUCGGCAGUCCGUGGCAUCUUGAAGCUGAAACAGGAAGACCCCUGGACUCCAUCAAAAAAAUACGGCAAUUAAUGAACCAAUCAGACGCUCCGGAACGCCACAACAACAUCUCGUCUGAACAAAGACAAAGAGGGCCUUUGAGGAGGGGCGAGCAAGCACAGAAGGAGGUAGGCAUUUCACGGAGAGGUCGAGAAAGGCUCUUUUGUCAUAUUCGAAUGCAUGGGUAUAUUGGUAUGGAACACACAUUAUACAGGAUGGCUCGAAGCAGAAGACAGAAUGUGCCCGUACAAGUCCCAUUCGAUCUUGCCGGCCUGAAUUCCUGCGUAAGAUGAGCAUGUGAACUUGGUCU